rnacentral:rRNA from 1 species
UACGUAGGGUGCGAGCGUUAAUCGGAAUUACCGGGCGUAAAGCGUGCGCAGGCGGUUUGUUAAGCCAGAUGUGAAAGCCCCGGGCUCAACCUGGGAACUGCGUUUGGUACUGGCAAGCUAGAGUACGGCAGAGGGGGGUGGAAUUCCACGUGUAGCAGUGAAAUGCGUAGAGAUGUGGAGGAACACCGAUGGCGAAGGCAGCCCCCUGGGCCGAUACUGACGCUCAGGCACGAAAGCGUGGGGAGCAAACAGG